UUGGGCUGGAUGACCUUCAUGGUCCCUUUCAGUCCAUACCAUUCUAUGAGUCUGUGAUUCUAUGAUCUAUGCUUGGAUAACAAUAAUCCAAGUGCUUCAGUGACUGGGUCAGGUGAGGACAUGGGCAGGAGGAGAAGAGCACGGUGAAGGCUUUUGGUGGAGAUUGAAUAGCCUCUGAUAGUUGCCUUAAUACAAAGGUUAUAGUGAUUGAUAAUUUCUGGUGUGUGAACAGCAUACUGCCCCAGAGAAGCUGGAAAGAGCUCAGGAGCACUUGGAGCAGCCCCAGAGACCCUGAGAAGAGAUCCAGAGUACCAGGAGUGAGCUGAGAGGAUCCCAGGCAGCGCUGGAAGGUCCCAGGAGCAGCCCUUAUCAGCCCCAGAGGAGCCUAGACAUGACUUAGGAAUACACAUAUGUCUCGUCUUCCACAUUCAAAGCCAGAACGCGGGAAGUUUCUGCAUUUUACAUCGAGAGAGUAUUUCUAAGCUCUUGGUGAGGAGGAGCACAGCGAACCUGCCAGGAAUCACCAUGGAGAGCUGCUGAAGCUGCUGACCAUCUUAACCCUGUGACUUCUAAUGCCGUGGCAGCCCAGCAACCUAAUUAGUGUGUACCAGAAGAUUCCAAAUUUUGCUAUUUUUUGCCUUUUUUGACCUUACCUGGAGUCCUGUGUUCAGCUCUGGAGUCCCCAGCACAGGAAGGACAUGGAUCUCUUGGAGUUUGCCUGAAUCCCUCCUACCUUCUUCAGAUGGUUUGAGCAAAGAACACAUCAAAGAUGCAGACACGUCUCUCAUCAAGUAAACACCAGCAGCUAGGUUAUUUGAUGCCGUUUUCUGCCUGGCUGCCACUGGGAAGAAAGUGCCUUCAGGGUUUCUCGUUGUGUACCCCGAAAGUACACAGCAUACCAGCUCUUGAGU